rnacentral:rRNA from 1 species
AUGCUGCACCAACUUGGCGCACCCAGGAUCAUGCUCAAGCUCGACCUCACACGCGCCUUCGACUCCAUCUCGUGGCCCUUCCUCUUUGAGGUGCUGCGCCAGUAUGGGUUUGGGGACCGAUUCCGGGAGUGGCUGGCCAUUCUGCUCUCCUCGGCAAGCACGCGGGUCAUGGUCAAUGGAGUUCCCGGCCCGCCAAUCUGGCACCACCGCGGCCUGCGACAAGGUGACUCCACCUCCCCACAACUCUUCGUGCUGGCGGUGGACACCCUUGGGAGGCUGAUGCGUCACGCCCUACAGACCGGCAUCCUUCAGCAGCUGCAUCCCCGGCGAGCCAUUCCGGCGAUCUCUCUUUACGCCGAUGAUGUGAUGCUUUUCUGCCAUGCCACUACCAAGGAGAUUGCCGCUGUCAAAGGCAUCCUGGACGUGUUCGGUACGGCUUCUGGGCUCCGGGUGAAUUACGCCAAGAGCUCGGCCAUGGUCCUUCACGCCAGCGACUACGGUGAGGGGCUGUUGGAGCCACUUGGGUGUCCCGUCGUGGCCCUGCCGGUAACUUAUCUGGGCAUCCCGCUCUCCGCUCGCCGCCCAUCCGCAGCCCAGCUGCAACCCCUCGUCGACGCAGUGGCGGGCCGGCUCCCUUCCUGGAAAGCUUGGCUGAUGAACAAAGCGGGACGGCUAGCGCUCGUCAAGUCGGUGCUUAACGCGAUACCGAUCCAUCAACUGCUAGCGCUAGCGCCUCCAAAGAAAACCCUGAAGCAACUAGAGAAGAUUCAGCGCGGGUUUCUUUGGGCCAGCCGCGCGGACGCCCAUGGUGGACACUGCCACGUCAAACUGGCGCCGGGUUUGCCGCCCGCUUAA